AGUGAGCGCUGGCGGUAGGCCUAACACAUGCAAGUCGAACGGCAGCACAGUAAGAGCUUGCUCUUACGGGUGGCGAGUGGCGGACGGGUGAGGAAUACAUCGGAAUCUACUUUUUCGUGGGGGAUAACGUAGGGAAACUUACGCUAAUACCGCAUACGACCUACGGGUGAAAGCAGGGGAUCUUCGGACCUUGCGCGAUUGAAUGAGCCGAUGUCGGAUUAGCUAGUUGGCGGGGUAAAGGCCCACCAAGGCGACGAUCCGUAGCUGGUCUGAGAGGAUGAUCAGCCACACUGGAACUGAGACACGGUCCAGACUCCUACGGGAGGCAGCAGUGGGGAAUAUUGGACAAUGGGCGCAAGCCUGAUCUAGCCAUACCGCGUGGGUGAAGAAGGCCUUCGGGUUGUAAAGCCCUUUUGUUGGGAAAGAAAAGCAGCAGGUUAAUACCCCGCUGUUCUGACGGUACCCAAAGAAUAAGCACCGGCUAACUUCGUG
rnacentral:rRNA from 1 species